CCAUGCCGCCGUGAAGGAUGAAGGCUUCUGGGUUGUAACUUCUUUUAUCUGGGAAGAACCUCCGAUUUCUAUUGGAGUUGACGGUACCAGAGGAAUAAGCACCGGCUAACUCCGUGCCAGCAGCCGCGGUAAUACGGAGGGUGCAAGCGUUAUCCGGAUUUACUGGGUUUAAAGGGUGUGUAGGCGGGCUAUUAAGUCAGUGGUGAAAUCUCCGAGCUUAACUUGGAAACUGCCAUUGAUACUAUUAGUCUUGAAUUUUGUUGAGGUAGGCGGAAUAAGUCAUGUAGCGGUGAAAUGCAUAGAUAUGACUUAGAACACCAAUUGCGAAGGCAGCUUGCUAAACAAACAUUGACGCUGAGCACGAAAGCGUGGGGAUCAAACAGGAUUAGAUACCCUGGUAGUCCACGCCUAACGAUGAUUACUCGACAUACGCGAUANCNGNGUGUGUCUGANCGAAAGCUUAAAUAAUCCACUGGGAAGUACGACCNCAAGGU
rnacentral:rRNA from 1 species